UGCGUAUUGGACGUAGAGACGCGAGCGGCGCGCGCAGCGACGCACCGCGGGGUGCGAAAAUGUCGACAGAAACACUAUUUCCCCUCGGUACUCCGCGGACAGGCAGGCGGCCCGGAAGGGCUCGUCCGGGGUGGCGUCGUCGUCUCCCACCGGCACGCACAGCUCGCACACCGCUUGCGCCUUCUCCGUCACGCCCUCGCACUCCAGACACAUCGUGCGGACCACCAUCGUGCCUUGGAAAAAUACAUCAUCAUCAGCCCAUUAACGUCCCCACUGCUGGGGCACGGGCCUUCCCUAUGGAUAGGGAUAUCGGGCCUUAAACCAUAACGCGGGCCCAGUGCGGAUUGAUGGUUAUUAACGACUGCUAAUGCAGCCGGGACCAACGGCUUAGCGUGCCUUCCGAAGCACGGAGGAGCUCGAGAUGAAAACUUUUUUUUUUGUGGUCACCCAUCCUAUGACCGGCCUUUGCGACAGUUGCUUAACUUCAACAAUCGCAGACCGAGCGCGUUUACCGCUGCGCCACCGAGCUCCUCAAAAAUAAUCGAAAAAUACAUAAUAAAUUAAAAUCAUCAUCUCCCCAGCAUUA